CAGAGUUCAUGCCCCUCGGGGCAGACCUCCCACCCUUUGUUAUACAUUGCCUUUGUUGCUUUGGCGGGCCGCCGCAAGGCCACCGGCUCCGGCUGGUGCGCGCCCGCCAGAGAACCCAAAACCCUGUUUUACAGUGUCGUCCGAGUACUAUAUAAUAGUUA
rnacentral:misc_RNA from 1 species